AGUCUUUGGCUUUAAGGAUUAUAGGUGAGGCCUGCCCAGUGGUUGUAUCUAAAUUUAAAUAAUAAAAUAAGUUGUUUAAUUAAAGACAAUUAAAUGGCCGCGGUAACUCUGACUGUGAUAAUGUAGCGAAAUCAAUAGCCAAUUAAUUGUUGGCAAGUAUGAAUGGCGUAACGAGUGCCCUACUGUCUCAAGAUAAAAACCAAUGAAAUUGAAAUUGUAGUGAAGAUGCUACAAAAAAUUGUAAGACGAGAAGACCCCGUUGAGCUUUACUGGAGGCUUAAAUUGUUUUUAAAGUAAUAUGUAGAUUAGGUGGGAAUAUCUGAAAAUUCCACUUAUUAGUUCUAAUAAAACCAAUCAGUAGUUUAUUGGGGUGGUUUAAGUUGGACAGUUUGGUUGGGCGACCGCCUUCUAAAGAGAUUCGAAGGCGAACAAAAGGUUAAUAAUGUAAUAGUUUAAAGGGAAAGCUUGACAGUAAGGAGGAUUCCCAAGCUGACACAGGUUGAAUUAGGGAAAGUUCAAUAAUACUGUGGGUUAUAAUGACCCGUUAGUUAAGAGUGGGUUUGCUAACGAGCAACGAAUAAAAGUUACCACGGGGAUAACAGCGUAAUCUCGUUUGAGAGUUCAUAUUGAUGACGAUGUUUGCGACCUCGAUGUUGAAUUGUGAUAUCCUGGAGGUGCAGUAGUUUCCAAGGGUUGACUGUUCGUCCAU
rnacentral:rRNA from 1 species